AGAAGCUAUCUUGUUAGAAAUCCCGCGGCUCCCACCUCCAGCUCCUGCAGAGGUGGAAGGAAUAGGAGAGGCACUGGGUCCUGAGGAGCUGAGGCUGACAGGCUGGGAACCUGGGGCCCUACUCAUGGGUGACCCCCCCGGAGGAGCUGCGUCUGCCAGCCCCACCCAGCCCAGAGAGGAGGCCCCCAGUCCCCCCACCUCCUCGCCGCCGCCGUCGUCGCCGGUUACUGUUCUGGGACAAGGAGACUCAGAUCUCCCCGGAGAAAUUCCAGGAACAACUGCAAACCAGAGCCCACUGCUGGGAAUGUCCUAUGGUGCAGCCGCCCGAGAGGACCAUCAGAGGCCCUGCGGAGUUGUUCAGAACCCCAACUCUCUCUGGCUGGCUACCCCCUGAACUACUGGGUCUCUGGACCCAUUGUGCCCAGCCACCCCCAAAAGCCCUCAGGCGAGAGCUGCCUGAGGAGGCAGCCGCUGAGGAGGAAAGGAGAAAGAUUGAAGUUCCAAGUGAGAUUGAGGUCCCGAGGGAGGCCCUGGAGCCCAGUGUUCCCCUUAUGGUGUCUUUAGAGAUCUCCCUAGAGGCAGCUGAAGAGGAGAAGUCCCGCAUCAGCCUCAUCCCACCAGAAGAACGGUGGGCCUGGCCUGAGGUGGAGGCGCCAGAAGCUCCUGCAUUGCCCGUGGUGCCUGAACUCCCUGAGGUGCCCAUGGAGAUGCCUUUGGUGCUGCCCCCAGAGCUCGAGCUGCUCUCACUGGAAGCAGUGCACAGGGCAGUGGCACUGGAGCUGCAGGCUAACAGGGAGCCCGACUUCAGCAGCCUGGUGUCACCUCUCAGCCCCCGCAGGAUGGCUGCCCGGGUCUUCUACCUGCUCCUGGUGCUCUCAGCGCAACAGAUUCUUCACGUGAAACAAGAAAAGCCAUAUGGUCGCCUCCUGAUCCAGCCGGGGCCCAGAUUCCACUGAGGUUAGAGUCCAUUUACAAAGCUGCCAGGAAACCGGCCACUUCUAGUAAACCACGUCGUG
rnacentral:lncRNA from 1 species